UACAGAGGGGGCGAGCGUUGUUCGGAAUUACUGGGCGUAAAGGGCGCGUAGGCGGCCUGCUAAGUCAGACGUGAAAUCCCAUGGCUCAACCAUGGAACUGCGUCUGAUACUGGCGGGCUUGAAUCCGGGAGAGGGAUGCGGAAUUCCAGGUGUAGCGGUGAAAUGCGUAGAUAUCUGGAGGAACACCGGUGGCGAAGGCGGCAUCCUGGACCGGCAUUGACGCUGAGGCGCGAAAGCCAGGGGAGCAAACGGG
rnacentral:rRNA from 1 species